GCAGUCGUGGCCGAGUGGUUAGGGCGAUGGUCUAGAAAUCCAUUGGGGUCUUCCCGCACAGGUUCGAAUCCUGUCGACUGCG
rfam:Ixodes scapularis strain Wikel colony gcontig_1108379723782, whole genome shotgun sequence.